CUCAACCUUUUAAAGUGGGGUAGGUGGGGUACAAUGAGUAAUAUUUCCUGCAUUUUUGACUUAGAAGAAAAUAUAUUUGCUACAAAUGUUCACUACCUU